AUCAACUUUCGAUGGUAGGAUAGAGGCCUACCAUGGUGGUAACGGGUAACGGGGUGUUAGGGCACGACACCGGAGAGGGAGCCUGAGAAACGGCUACCACAUCCAAGGAUGGCAGCAGGCGCGCAAAUUACCCAAUCCCGACACGGGGAGGUAGUGACAAUAAAUAACAAUACGGGGUCCUUUCGGGUUUCGUAAUUGGAAUGAGUACAAUUUAAAUCUCUUAACGAGGAACAAUUGGAGGGCAAGUCUGGUGCCAGCAGCCGCGGUAAUUCCAGCUCCAAUAGCGUAUAUUAAAGUUGUUGCAGUUAAAAAGCUCGUAGUUGAAUUUCGGGAUCAGUACGUUGGUCGUGCCUUCGGUACGUACUGAUGUUACUGGUUUCUACCUUCUGAAGAACCGUCAUGUCAUUAAUUUGGUGUGGCGGGGAAUCAGGACUGUUACUUUGAAAAAAUUAGAGUGUUUAAAGCAGGCUCGCGCUUGAAUACAUUAGCAUGGAAUAAUGAAAUAGGACGUUCGAUCCUAUUUUGUUGGUUUCUAGGAUUGACGUAAUGAUUAAUAGGGAUAGUUGGGGGCAUUAGUAUUCAAUUGUCAGAGGUGAAAUUCUUGGAUUUAUUGAAGACUAACUACUGCGAAAGCAUUUGCCAAGGAUGUUUUCAUUAAUCAAGAACGAAAGUUAGGGGAUCGAAGACGAUCAGAUACCGUCGUAGUCUUAACCAUAAACUAUGCCGACUAGGGAUCGGAUGAUGUUAAUUUUUUAAUGACUCAUUCGGCGCCUUACGGGAAACCAAAGUGUUUGGGUUC
rnacentral:rRNA from 1 species